ACUCCUACGGGAGGCAGCAGUGGGGAAUCUUGGACAAUGGGCGCAAGCCUGAUCCAGCCAUGCCGCGUGAGUGAUGAAGGCCCUAGGGUCGUAAAGCUCUUUCGCCAGGGAUGAUAAUGACAGUACCUGGUAAAGAAACCCCGGCUAACUCCGUGCCAGCAGCCGCGGUAAUACGGAGGGGGUUAGCGUUGUUCGGAAUUACUGGGGCGUAAAGCGCGCGUAGGCGGACUGGAAAGUUGGGGGUGAAAUCCCGGGGGCUCAACCCCGGAACUGCCUCCAAAACUCCCAGUCUUGAGUUCGAGAGAGGUGAGUGGAAUUCCGAGUGUAGAGGUGAAAUUCGUAGAUAUUCGGAGGAACACCAGUGGCGAAGGCGGCUCACUGGCUCGAUACUGACGCUGAGGUGCGAAGUGUGGGGAGCAAACAGGAUUAGAUACCCUGGUAGGAUAGG
rnacentral:rRNA from 1 species